rnacentral:rRNA from 1 species
AUUGAACGCUGGCGGCAUGCUUUACACAUGCAAGUCGAACGGCAGCGAGGAGAAGCUUGCUUCUCUGUCGGCGAGUGGCGAACGGGUGAGUAUAGCAUCGGAACGUGCCAAGUAGUGGGGGAUAACCAAACGAAAGUUUGGCUAAUACCGCGUAAGCUCUAAGGAGGAAAGUAGGGGACCUAAAUAAGGCCUUACGCUAUUUGAUCGGCCGAUGUCGGAUUAGCUAGUUGGUGGGGUAAUGGCUCACCAAGGCAAUGAUCCGUAGCGGGUCUGAGAGGACGAUCCGCCACACUGGGACUGAGACACGGCCCAGACGACUACGGGAGGCAGCAGUGGGGAAUUUGGGACAACGGGGGAAACCAUGAUCCAGCCAUGCCGCGUGUAUGAAGAAGGCCUUAGGGUUGUAAAGUACUUUUGUUAGGGAAGAAAAGCUAGUUUUUAAUAAAAAUUAGUGAUGACGGUACCUAAAGAAUAAGCACCGGCUAACUACGUG